rnacentral:lncRNA from 1 species
UGGAGCCCUCAUGAAUGGGAUUAGAGCUCUUAUGAAAGAGACCCCAGAGAGAUCCCUUGCAAGUUCCACCAUGUGAGGAUACAGGGAGAAAAUGGCAGUCUAUGAACCAGGAAGCAAGUCUUCACCAGAACCCAGCUGUGCUAGCACCCUGAACUCAGGCUUUCAGCCUCCAGAACUAUCCUCAGAGCUUUAUAGCCUUUCAGUUGAGAAAUAUGAAACACUGAAAAUCAAAAACAAAUGCUGGAAAUCUUCUUUGACUGAACUGUUUUUCUCCAUUUUGUCUUCUUGCCACUCUUGAUACCCACAUGAGAGAAUGCAAGAUAUUACUAAUAGCCUGUAACUUCUGGGGGAAAACAGGAGGCACCAUGGACCCCAUUCUGCGAAAAACCUCUGUUUUCCCAUAGAACCCCAGGAAUUGACAUGAAAUAAACCUUUCUCAAAAUC